rnacentral:rRNA from 1 species
AGUGAACGCUGGCGGUAGGCCUAACACAUGCAAGUCGAACGGCAGCACAGGAGAGCUUGCUCUCUGGGUGGCGAGUGGCGGACGGGUGAGGAAUACAUCGGAAUCUACUUUUUCGUGGGGGAUAACGUAGGGAAACUUACGCUAAUACCGCAUACGACCUACGGGUGAAAGCAGGGGAUCUUCGGACCUUGCGCGAUUGAAUGAGCCGAUGUCGGAUUAGCUAGUUGGCGGGGUAAAGGCCCACCAAGGCGACGAUCCGUAGCUGGUCUGAGAGGAGGAGCAGCUACACUGGAACGGAUCCACGGUCCAGACUCCUACGGGAGGCAGGAGUUGGGAAUAUUGGACAAGGGGCGCAAGCCUGAUCCAGCCAUACCGCGUGGGUGAAGAAGGCCUUCGGGUUGUAAAGCCCUUUUGUUGGGAAAGAAAUCCAGCUGGUUAAUACCCGGUUGGGAUGACGGUACCCAAAGAAUAAGCACCGGCUAACUUCGUGCCAGCAGCCGCCGUAA